rnacentral:rRNA from 1 species
UACGUAGGGGGCAAGCGUUGUCCGGAUUUAUUGGGCGUAAAGAGCGUGUAGGCGGCCAUACAGGUCAGCUGUGAAAACUCGAGGCUCAACCUCGAGACGUCGGUUGAAACCGUUUGGCUAGAGUCCGGAAGAGGAGAGUGGAAUUCCCGGUGUAGCGGUGAAAUGCGCAGAUAUCGGGAAGAACACCCGUGGCGAAGGCGGCUCUCUGGGACGGUACUGACGUUGAGACGCGAAAGCGUGGGGAGCGAACAGG